rnacentral:lncRNA from 1 species
CGUGAUCGUUGAGCGUCGCCAGAGCCUUGGCCGAGCUCCUGCGGCGGUGACCAGCUCGGGUACCUCGCCACGCCUAUAUAUAGGCCAUCUCGAGCCCCUCCUUGCAUUAACAGCGGCCUCAUUGCUAUCCCACACCAUCCCUAGCCUCUCGGCGGAGCUCCAGGAGCUCUCCUCGCUCGUCUCUUCCACCACGGCCGCCGGUCGGCUCCACCUAAAUUUCGGUGAGCCACGCCUCCUCCCUCCGUUACAGCACCACGCGUAGCCUCCCCACUACCCACCAAGCCUCCCACUCCCCUCAACUAGUUGCCGGAGUGGCUGUGGUCGCCGUCCCCAAGAUCGUCCGCCGCCUCCCCUGCUCCCUGUUGCCACGGGCCACGGCCACCCUGCCCUUCCCCUUGCGUGGCUGCUGCACCAGGCGGGUGCGGCACCUUCAUCCGAGGCUGCCAGUGCCCCUACCUCGGCCGGAGAUGGCUUGAGCCGCUGGGGCCAGCGCCGACGUGCGUUCGGCCUCGCCUCUUCUGUUCCUCGUCGGGAGAAAGAAGAAGACAGGGGAUAGAAGGAGUCAAAACCCGGGCCCCACCCGUAAGUCUCACACCGCUGACCAGCCCCGGGCCCCCGUGUUUUAAGUGGAAGUGUACUUCAGAAAAUACGUUUUUCUCUCAGGAAAACGUACUCCUGUAUACUUCUGCUGAGAACACGUUUUCCCAACUCUGAAAGCGCAUUUUGGUUCUACUACGACUAAAAAUAUGCUUUCCUGUAUAGAAUGUGUAUUCCUACUAAAGACGCUUUCUGUUUUUCAGCCCAGGGACCUGUUUGUGGAGAAAUCUUUACAGAUUAGUCCCUGGACUUCCACCUCUCGUAUCUUCGCGACCAUAAUUCCGAUUAAGGUGAAUCCAAAGCCUACUUCUUCAUCUCGUCGAGCUCUAUAUUUUGGCAUCAUUUUUACUCGGUGGUCCCACUGUGAAAAUGACCGUUUUUCCUUUGCCCCUAAUCAGCCCCCUUCGAGAGAGAAACUUUUUCAGCGAUUCGUUCCGCGAGCUUUCCGCACUUCUCCCCGAUGGUUUCUUCAUCCCCAGGCAAGCCACGAUAACCACUUGCAUGAUUGCAUGCAGUGGCCAUGGUUUUCUACUUGAACAUUUAAUAACUAUCAGUUUGGUUUGCUACUGUUAUCGGUGUUAGUAAUGUUUAUAGUUUCAUGUUCAUCUUCUUGCUAUGUUCGGAUGCACCUGGUCAUCUUGUAUUCUUGCUAGUAUUACUUUCGUAUGUCGUGCUUGGUAGUAGUAGUUCAUGUUGGUGGUAGUGAUGCUCAUCUGUUGCAUGUUGGAUAUCUGUUAUCAUUAUCGUUGAUAUGCAUGUUCUGUUGCACCUAGUUGGUUACAUGCUUACUUGGUAGUAUUAUUGACAUGUUCUUGCUUGGUAUUUAUUGUUGAUGCUAGUGGUCAUGUUAUGCUAUGAAUAGUGUUAUGUUUGUGAUAUUCAUGCUCGUCAGUAUACCCUGCUCAUUCGGAUAUAUGAUUUAUUGUUAUUGAUAUGCCCAAUGAUUAUGUUGCACCCCAUGCUCAUGUGGAUAUCAUGCUAAUGCAUUAUAAUUGCAUCAUGUUAUUUUCUUAUGCUUUUUGUUUUAAUUAAUAAAAGUUGUAGUGGGGGUUUUACCCUACUGUUUAUAGUCAUGUUAUUUUAUUAUGGCUCAGCUUAUUGGAUGAUCUUUUCUCCUAAUUGAUUAUGUAUAUAAUUGUUUACUAAGGUGUACAAAUGUUAUAUGUAUUCACUUAUGUAAUUGGAUGUUUAAUUUGGUUACGCAAUCAUGUUCUUAUAAGUAUACAUGUUGUUGUUCUAUUAAAGAGCAUAGAUUUUGUGCAGACAUAGCAAAUCACAUCGCAUGCGAUUAAACUACGGGACCCGUCGGUGAUGAUUUCAGCAAUCACAGACAAUUGUUUACCAACAAGCCUUUGCCAACAAUACAUACAACUUAUUAGCAGGAUUCGUCUAUGUUAUUAUCGGUCUUCUCACAUAAUUCGGAUUACUGACCUGUUUGUCGGAUAUCACACAUGUUGUUAAGUCAAAUCAUUUGUGUUCCGUCUGGAUCAUUGCAAACAGUUCAUCUGAGUGACUUGUAUGCCGUCUAUUGCACAUAUCUGGACCUGGAUAACCGUUUGUGUUUUUUGGCUCAUCACAAAUAGUUCGUAUGGAUCAAAUAUAUGCCAUGUUUCGCACACACAACUCUUAUCUAAAUCAUGCUUGAUGGAUCCGCCAUCACACACAGUUCAUUUUAUUGGUGACAAUUUUAUUACAAUAUCGUUUGCGAUUCAUGCAUCGCACAUAUUUUGGUCGAAUGGUCCCUUAUACAUGUGUCAUCUUAGGACAUUGCUGCAGUAGUGACCCGAGAUCCACCAGUCUUAGCACCGACAUCGAGCACAUUCAACAUUUUAUGAACAGCAGGCGCGGCGCUACCAGAUCGGGAGAUCCGAGCAAAGGCGUACAAUGUCAGAGACCUGGUCUUACGAUACCAUCCAGACAAGUCAGAUCAUCAUAAACUAUCGGUAAAAUGGGGCAGGUCGUUCAUCAUCGACAAGGUGCUCACUGGAGGGGCAUAUCGUAUUUGGAACACUAGGAUAAUCGCCUGGAGCCGCACCCAUGGAACGCUGCCCGGCUGUGCCAUUUUCAUGAUUAAGAGGAUCUUUUGCUUUUAUUUUUCUCGUACUUAAAAACUUAGUUGAAAGGUACUUUUUGAAUAAAUAUUAGCAUCGAUGUAUCAUACUAAUAUAUCUUAUUUCUUCCAAUGAUCUACUACACAAAGUACGGCUCAUGGCCACACAAUGCGCAAUAUUUAACUUGAAGCCAAGAGUUCUCUUUUAGAAAGAAACAACUCAUCGGCAUAAAACACCUUGGAUCUAUAAAAU